CCCCACAGCAAUGGGCAAAGAGACACCUUAUUGAUGGUGGUGGUCUUGUAUCAGUCAGGGGCAGAGAAGAUGGCAGUCUUUUGUUCAUCCUAACUUGAUGCCUGGUUUGGUGGCCAAAGGUGUUUUAUACCUAGGACUCAUUA